UACGGGGGGGGCAAGCGUUGUUCGGAAUUACUGGGCGUAAAGGGCUCGUAGGCGGCCCACUAAGUCAGACGUGAAAUCCCUCGGCUUAACCGGGGAACUGCGUCUGAUACUGGAGGGCUUGAGUUUGGGAGAGGGAUGCGGAAUUCCAGGUGUAGCGGUGAAAUGCGUAGAUAUCUGGAGGAACACCGGUGGCGAAGGCGGCAUCCUGGACCAACACUGACGCUGAGGAGCGAAAGCCAGGGGAGCAAACGGGG
rnacentral:rRNA from 1 species